CGCGUUUUUCGCCCAGGCGGAGCUCGACCGCCGACUCAAGUCCUGACCGAAUUCAUCGACCCGCACCGCGAUACUCACGGGGUCGAGCCGCUCGGCAAGGUGAUGCAGGUCGCCCCG
rfam:Candidatus Contendobacter odensis Run_B_J11, WGS project CBTK01000000 data, contig: COMPJ11_2695_Contig_117